GAUGAACGCUGGCGGCGUGCCUAAUACAUGCAAGUCGAGCGAACGGACGAGAAUCUUGCUUCUCUGAUGUUAGCGGCGGACGGGUGAGUAACACGUGGAUAACCUACCUAUAAGACUGGGAUAACUUCGGGAAACCGGAUCUAAUACCGGAUAAUCUUUUGAACCGCAUGGUUCAAUAGUGAAAGACGGUCUUUCUGUCACUUCUAGCUGGAUCCGCGCUGCAUUAGCUAGUUGUUAAGGUAACGGCUUACCAAGGCAACGAUGCAUAGCCGACGUGAGAGGGUGAUCGGCCACACUGGAACUGAGACACGGUCCAGACUACUACGGGAGGCAGCAGUAGGGAAUCUUCCGCAAUGGGCGAAAGCAUGACGGAGCAACGCCGAGUGAGUGAUGAAGGUCUUCGGAUCGUAAAAAUCUGUUAUUAGGGAAGAACAGAUGUGGAAGUAACUGUGCACAUCGUGACGGUACCUAAUAAGAAAGCCACGGCUAACUACGUG
rnacentral:rRNA from 1 species